rnacentral:rRNA from 1 species
UAGGGAAUCUUCCGCAAUGGGCGAAAGCCUGACGGAGCAACGCCGCGUGAGUGAUGAAGGUCUUCGGAUCGUAAAACUCUGUUAUUAGGGAAGAACAAAUGUGUAAGUAACUAUGCACGUCUUGACGGUACCUAAUCAGAAAGCCACGGCUAACUACGUGCCAGCAGCCGCGGUAAUACGUAGGUGGCAAGCGUUAUCCGGAAUUAUUGGGCGUAAAGCGCGCGUAGGCGGUUUUUUAAGUCUGAUGUGAAAGCCCACGGCUCAACCGUGGAGGGUCAUUGGAAACUGGAAAACUUGAGUGCAGAAGAGGAAAGUGGAAUUCCAUGUGUAGCGGUGAAAUGCGCAGAGAUAUGGAGGAACACCAGUGGCGAAGGCGACUUUCUGGUCUGUAACUGACGCUGACGUGCGAAAGCGUGGGGAUCAAACAGG